AGAGCUGGGAUUUGACCGUGGCUGUCUGGUUGAGCCUGAGUUCUUAGCCUUCUCAGAAUGAGGCAAAAUGAAAGUGGUUGGUGAUGGCCAUGAGGCAGGUUUCAGUUCUCUGCCUCUGUUGAAGUCAGAAUGAAUUUGUGUUCUUUCAUCUGCUCCAUGAAUGCCUAGUGAGAACCACAGGGUUAGCAGGUCCAUUAAUUAAUUUCAUUAAGAACCAUCAUUUUGGAGGGGAAAAGAUACUACAGCCUCCUGUCCUCCAUAGUAAUUGCUAAAAUUUAUCGAAUCCUUCCUGUAUGCAUUCUUGCCCUAAGAGAAGGAACUUGCCAAGGCCGCACGGUUCGUAAGAGGUGCAGUCAGUAUUCACGGCGGGCAGUAUGGGUGAGAGCCCCAGUGCUCCUCGCACCGGUCCUCGUGUCACUCCCGAGCCCCCGUGGAGCUCCGCUAGCGCUGUGGGUCUGGGUCCCCUCUGCCAGCAGCAGUGCCUCCCCCUGUGCUGCUGCUGCGUCUCCUCAGUUUGCUGGUCUCCUCACGGGCCACAGUUUGAAUGGUCAGCCUCGUGCAAGGCUUCACCAUGCAGCAGGAUCCUUAGUAGCAUGCCGUGUAGCCUCUUUCCUUAGGCGUGCUUUGAACUUUUGUUCAAAUCCAGCUGUGCGUGUUGUAAAAUGCAUAGAUCUUAAUGGCACAGGUUGACGAAUGUUUAAUAGCUUCCACUCAUCCAACCACCCCCUGAGUGUGGAAAAUCAGUUUUUCCAUUCUUAUAGGAAGUGCCCUCCUGCCCCCUUGCAGUUGGUGUUGCCCCAGAGGUAGGCACCGUUCUGACUGCUGUCAUCCAGACUCAGGCUUCUCACUCAUGCAGGUGCAGCAUCCUUGCCAAGACAGAAGAGUGCUUCUGUCACUCUGCCCAGUGGGAGUCGCUUCUGGAAUGAGUGUGACUGCGAGGCAGGGAUGUGCUAUUUCCUCACUUGGUCUUUGUCCCUGUGGCUUGGUAUUGUGUCAAGAGUGUCUGUCUCAUAUUUAUAGGUCUUAAUUGUCACACCAUGUGGCCUCUAAGUCCAAGCCAGCUAUUACAAGUGGUCUUUAACCUCAGAUCCUACCUCUAGUGCUGAAGGAAAAUCUGCUUGUGGUGGACAGUAUGAGAGAUGGUUCGUCAGUCUACUGCGAGACCUUUGUGGGAUUUGCAAGGGGAAUUUUGAGUCUUCAAUUUCCAUACUAUGUGCUGACUUUAAAAGUUAAAUUUUAAAAUACAGAAUUUUUAAAAAAUUCAUUUUAGAGACAGAAUGAGACAGAAAGAUGGGAAACUCUCAACUGGUAGUUUAGUCCAUAAAUACCUGCAUUGGCCCGGACUGGGUGAGCCUGCAGCUGGGGGCUGGGCAUCAGUCCCAGCUGGCAGGAACGUAGCUGCUGAAUCAGCAGCAGCUGUUCUGCAGCUUGUGCGUUAGUAGGAGGCUGGAGUCAGACACCGGAGCCAGGUAUUGAACCCAGUGCUUUGAUGUGGUGCGUGGCUAUCUUAACCACUGUUUUAACCAUUAGGUAAAAAAGUCUGCCCCCCUGGGUUGUUUUCAUAUGGAUAUUACUCAAGCCCGGGUAAGUAGUUAGAGCUGAUGACAUGGAAUACUUCUAGUGAAGUGGUGGAACUAAGCUGAUUUUCGUAUGUCUUCUCUUGUUGGAGUGUAGACUUGGCUAAAAUGUACACUUGUCUAGUGGAACUCAAGGGAAAUAUGUGUAAACAAAU